CCAUGAUUGAUUAGGUGUAAGUCUGGCAGUACAGGAGACAGGCCAAGGUUAAAGUUUAGUUACAUUCAACACAGGGAGACCAGGUGUGGAGGGGAUGAUUAGUAGCAUUUUAAGUUUGAAGCAAUUGCAGGGUGUCCAGUAUGAAUGAAUGACAGGUCUGCAGAUGAGGAGAGAGGUUGGACUGAAUGCACAGAUUCAGAUAAGCCUUCAUAAUGGAUAGGAUGUCCUGGGGAAGACAAACCACGAGCCCAGAAUGAAAGCAUGCAGGCAGCUGUCAGGAGAGAAGAAACAGAGGUUGGGGUAGGACUAGAAACGAACCUGCAGAGAGGUGGCACAGGAGUGGGACAGAGUAAGGUCUGUCAAUAGAGGGAGAAGCCACCUUCUGAGAGGUAAUGAUGGGCCAGGAUGAAAGGACAAGGAGGUGCUGUAAUUUAGAAGAUGAGACAAACAGUGUCUAGAGAGUUAGAAGCUGGUCUGCAAGGGACCUAGCUAAGCCUCUUUUUUGCAGUGUGGCUGGGAGCAGUCCAGGUAGUGGUGGAAGAAGGUGGAGCAGGGCCAGGUGUAGGGAUGGGAGUUUUAAGUACAGCAGGUGGCCGGUCAUCCAGCUUCUGUCCACAAGACAACCUCUGAGUGUUUGCACAGCCAAGCAUUCUAUUUGGUUCAGCCUAUAUUCAUUGAGCACCUGCUGUGUCCAAAGUAGCAGACCAGCAUUGCAACGCUCAAAAAGACAUCCCAGGUGCAGUCAUGUUUUGGCUUUUCAUUUAUCAGCCUAAACUUGCCUUCUUCUGACCACAGCUCUCUGUCCUCUGGAGCUGUACCUGAUGCAACAAGAGUUUCUUCCAUACAGCAGUCCUUCUGCUAACUGAAGAUUCCUCUCCCCUGCCCCCUUGGGGAUUUCCCACUUGUUUCAGUUUUACAAAAUAAUCUGGUCUUUACACACGUGUAUGUUUGUUGGUAGGUAGGUAUUUUAUUAUCAGCUGGCUAUUUCCCUCCAAGUAUCCAUAGCUAAU
rnacentral:lncRNA from 1 species